UACAGAGGGUGCGAGCGUUAAUCGGAAUUACUGGGCGUAAAGCGUGCGUAGACGGUUAUUUAAGUCGGGGUGUGAAAGCCCCCGGGCUCAACCUGGGGAAUUGCAUUCGAGACUGAAUAGCUAGGGUACGGUAGAGGGAAGUGGAAUUUCCGGUAGCGGUGAAAUGCGGUAGAUAUUGGGAGGAACACCGGGUGCGAAGGGCGG
rnacentral:rRNA from 1 species